rnacentral:lncRNA from 1 species
UCGUUGUCGUGGAUGAACUUGGGAGGGCAACUUCUUCCUCUGAUGGAUUUGCAAUUGCAUGGAGCUGCUGUGAAUAUCUUUUGACACUGAAAGCGUGCAUAUAAUAUCCUUACCAACUAUUCUACUUGAUUGCCAAAGAUGCAAAUAAUAUUUUAGAUAAAGCGUGCAUGCAUACUGUUUUCAUCAUAGUAAUCAAUAAGGUUUAAAAUGCAUCAACCUAGUCAUAUCUCAACUGGUGAAGCAAUAUAUUAUCAACCUAAAGGUCGAGCUUCAAAUCUUCAGUGUCUAGUCCUUUUUUGUCCCAUGUAAAAUUCAUUGCUCAUCAUUUCUUAUUCUAGUUUAAUCACUAGUAUGUCCAUAGAUAUGGAAAAACUUUAUGCUUGUCAAAAUAAUAACAUGUAGGAUCCAUAAACUAAAUAUAUAUCAUUUAAUUAUGAUAAAUUUGAGAGUAGGUAUUACAAUAGUAGUAAAAUUUAUUCAGAUUUGGGUUCACAAGCGAACUUCAACAAAAUGUACUUACCGCUUCUUUGUCUGCCUCAGCUAUACCAUAUUUGCCACUCAUAUGGAGGGCCUAUCAGAGCUGGCAACCAUCUAUCCAAACGUAAAAAUUCUUCACUUCCAUGUGGAUAUAAGGAAUCACCGUUUGGAUUUCAAG